AUUGAACGCUGGCGGCAGGCCUAACACAUGCAAGUCGAACGACUGGCGGACGGGUGAGUAAUGUUUGGGAAACUGCCUGAUGGAGGGGGAUAACUACUGGAAACGGUAGCUAAUACCGCAUACCAUCGGAUGUGCCCAGAUGGGUUUAGCUAGGAGGUGGGGUAAAGGCUCACCUAGGCGACGAUCCCUAGCUGGUCUGAGAGGAUGACCAGCCAAACUGGAACUGGGACACGGGCCAGAUUCCUACGGGAGGCAGAAGUGGGGAAUAUUGCACAAUGGGCGCAAGCCUGAUGCAGACAUGCCGCGUGUAUGAAGAAGGCCUUCGGGUUGUAAAGUACGUUCAGCGGGGAGGCGUUACCCGCAGAAGAAGCACCGGCUAACUCCGUGCCAGCCGCCGCGGUAAUUC
rnacentral:rRNA from 1 species